rnacentral:tRNA from 1 species
GCGGUCGUGGUGGAACUGGUAGACACACUAGCUUGAGGUGCUAGCGGGGCAACCCAUGGAGGUUCGAGUCCUCUCGACCGCACCA